AACUAGGAUUUUCUAAUGAUGAAAUUUUUUUCUUGUGUAAUUGACAGUAGCAAGUUUAACAGAAGAAACGCUGAGGAAUGGUGAUUAGAGAUGCAUCCCAACCUAAUUUUUUCUUCCCCAAUCUAUAAUAAAAGGCAUGGAGCUCAAACCCCUGGGGAAAGCAAGAAAGCCAGGCAGCAGAGCCACCAUGAUGAACAAGAAGUUCUUCAUCUGGAGGACUGCGGCUCGGCUGGAGGGAGGUGUAUAUAAACAGCUAGUAGGUUUAACACAGAAGGCAACAGAAGCCCAGAGAGGUAAACUGACUUACCUAAGGCCACACAGCUACUUAAUAACACAUUUGAGAACAGACUCAGUCUCCUGACUUCCAACUCCACUACUUACUGGGUUCCCGGCCUAGAAUCAGAUGGCACCAAGAAAAAUCCUGGAGGAAAUGACGCACCUCGUGCACGUCCCCUUCGAGCCACAAGGAACUGAAUUCUGCCAACACCUUGAAUGAGCUCAGAUGAGAACCUCGAGUGCCAGAUGAGAGCUGCAGCCUGACCCUGACUGCAGCCUUGUGAGACCCUGAGCUGGGAUCCCGUGAAGCUGUGCUUUGGAUCCUGAUCCACGAAACUAGGGCAAUUAUGGCUGGAGAAGAAUGGGCAGAGGAAUGUAUCAGUCAUCUAUCUCACAAGAAUGCUCUUGACCUAAAACAGCUCUUCUUUUCUCAAGAAAGCAGCCACACUGAGUCUGGCUCUCACAAGUCCGUCUCGCAAAUUCUCAUGCACAACUUCUUGAAUUGAUAUAUAUUCCCAUCAGGUGCUUCAGAGAAGCUCUGACCUUUUUCUCGACAGGCAAAAAUGUGCAUUUUGGCACCAGAUUAUCGGAUGGAAAAAUACAGGCAUUUUCCAAGCCCUAAACACAGAGUGUGCCAUCUAUUAGUUUGGAUUUCUUCCUUAACUAUCAUCAUACUAAUAUGUGGUGGUUUUUCCAAGAAGAAAUGAAUCCAAAUCUAUUUUGGACUCAGAAUCCCGGAAGCCUGGGUUUUAUCACUGGCUGGUCACAGAUGCACUGAAAAUGGGCUUGUUUUCUCUGAAGACUUAAAGAAAUUUGGAGGCAUCAAUCUUCACAUUCCUCGUGGUGGAAGGCUUAAAGAGCAAGCCACAUCUGAGCUGGCCUUGAAAACUCUGCCUGGCUGAAGUUCCUGUUGUCACCUUUUUCAGGAAUUGCCUCCUUUCCUUAAGACAGUCUGACUAGGUUUGUAACUCAAAUGGCUUCCAUCAAAACAACACCCUGCACCAGGUGCUGGCCAUUCAGUGACCUGUGACUGAGCUGUGCCUUACCUACUGUCUUUCUGGACCUCUGUGCCAGCCUCUGCAGCCAGAUUAGUUCUUUCAGAGCUUGCACUGGGUCCCGGCUUCUCCUCAGCAACAGCAGUCCAGGGAUGACAGGUGCCAUGCUUUCUGCACAAGUCUUCAUCUGCGGUGAGUAGAACAGUAAUGCUUCAACCUCAUAUUUUAUCGGCAGAUAUGGCUACAAGGUAAAAAAAAAAACCUACUUGUUACAAAGAUGCUCUCUUGGGAUACUCAUCCUCUCUCCAUGGUGUUCUCCUUACUCCCAGCAAAGCUGGACAAUACUUCCCUUAGUCUGCUGUCUACCCAGUGAUGGGAAGGCAGCCUACAAUCAGAGGAGUCUUCUCCCUCUCCGUCUUCAGCUGAUGUUCACAAGGUACCUGUUCUGUAAUUUUGCCCCCAGUUACUUUGGACCUGGGUCUACCACCUCAUGACAAUACUGAGUUUUUUCUUUCCCUCUGGUAGGGAUUAUCUGUGAUCCCAGUGGGUAAUAGAAUUUGCAAUGAGGAAGACUCUGAUACCACCGUAGUCCUUCAUCUAUCUUGUUAUAUGACAUUCUGGCCAGCAAACAAUGAUGAGGGCUUUAUUCUAGGAGAUAUUAUAGUGUGUUCAACCAGAGAUAAGUAAGAUAAAGUCUGGGACAGAAAGAAAUUCAAAUGAGGAGUACAGCAACAUUUCAGUGGAUGACCUAUCCCAGGGUCAGCCUGGCAAUGAAAACAUAAGAGUCAGGGUAUUCAAAAUAUAAACAAUAUGGGAGUUCUUUAGUUGUGAUAUCUGUGUGUAUCUAUAUCUCUAUCUACAGAAAACUAAAAUAUUAAUCCAGAAAAAGUGUUGAUAAUGUGCAUUGUAUUAAGUGUUGUGUUGUCAACUAAUCUAGACCAAUUUGUUCAUUACAACUGUUGGGUUCUUUUGGCAAAUAACGGUGACCUCUAAUGACUAAAGGUAGAGAGAGGAAGGGUCAAGGUCUCAUUCCCAAUAAACUUGUUACAAAGUGGUACAUUACAAGAAAAGCAAAUCUCAAACCAAAUCCUGCAACACAAAUGUGAACAUUUAUUAGCAAACAGACACGAAGAGUCAUGCAAUAUGCUCUUAUUGGCUCCCUCCCUUGGUCACUCUGCCAGUCCCCUUUCAUGACAGUUUCACUAGUGAUAGAUACAGCAGUAUUCUCUAGGGAGGAUCAGCUAGCCAUCCAGUCAGAAUCAGACAAUAAGUCCUUUAGUAAGAGAUGGGACACAGGACCGAAUGGGACUUCUAGGCUGGUGCAUCAUACCAAGAGAUAUUAGGCUGCUGCACAAGAGAGGUUCAUGCACAAGUGAGGGUGUCUGUACCAUGCGAGUCAGUUUACAUAUACUGAACACUAUUCCAAUUGCCUUUGAAAAACUAUUUCUAACUCCAAUUAUGCUAAUGAAUAAACCCUUGACUACAGACAGAGAUAGACAUCGUUGAAG